rnacentral:rRNA from 1 species
AAUGGGCGCAAGCCUGAUCCAGCCAUGCCGCGUGUGUGAUGAAGGCCCUAGGGUUGUAAAACACUUUCAGUGGGGAAGAUAAUGACGGUACCCACAGAAGAAGCUCCGGCUAACUCCGUGCCAGCAGCCGCGGUAAUACGGAGGGAGCUAGCGUUGUUCGGAAUUACUGGGCGUAAAGCGCACGUAGGCGGAUUUGUUAGUCAGAGGUGAAAUCCCGGGGCUCAACCUCGGAACUGCCUUUGAUACUGCAAGUCUAGAGACCGAGAGAGGUGAGUGGAAUUUCCAGUGUAGAGGUGAAAUUCGUAGAUAUUGGAAAGAACACCAGUGGCGAAGGCGGCUCACUGGCUCGGUACUGACGCUGAGGUGCGAAAGCGUGGGGAGCAAAUAGGAUU